rnacentral:rRNA from 1 species
CCCUUAGAUGUUCUGGGCCGCACGCGCGCUACACUGACGGAGGCAGCGAGCAUGUCCUUCGCCGAGAGGUGUGGGGAAUCUUGUGAGUCUCCGUCGUGCUGGGGAUAGAUGGUUGCAAUUGUCGAUCUUGAACGAGGAAUUCCUAGUAAGCGCGAGUCAUCAGCUCGCGCUGAUUACGUCCCUGCCCUUUGUACACACCGCCCGUCGCUCCUACCGAUUGGGUGUGCUGGUGAAAUGUUCGGAUCGGCCGUUUGUCGCGGUUUCCGCGGCUCGUGGCUGAGAAGUUCAUUAAACCCUCCCACCUAGAGGAAGGAGAAGUCGUAACA